rnacentral:rRNA from 1 species
CGAGUGGCGGACGGGUGAGGAAUACAUCGGAAUCUACCUUUUCGUGGGGGAUAACGUAGGAAACUUACGCUAAUACCGCAUACGACCUACGGGUGAAAGUGGGGGACCGCAAGGCCUCACGCGAUUAGAUGAGCCGAUGUCCGAUUAGCUAGUUGGCGGGGUAAUGGCCCACCAAGGCGACGAUCGGUAGCUGGUCUGAGAGGAUGAUCAGCCACACUGGAACUGAGACACGGUCCAGACUCCUACGGGAGGCAGCAGUGGGGAAUAUUGGACAAUGGGCGCAAGCCUGAUCCAGCCAUACCGCGUGGGUGAAGAAGGCCUUCGGGUUGUAAAGCCCUUUUGUUGGGAAAGAAAUCCUAUCGGUUAAUAACCGGUGGGGAUGACGGUACCCAAAGAAUAAGCACCGGCUAACUUCGUGCCAGCAGCCGCGGUAAUACGAAGGGUGCAAGCGUUACUCGGAAUUACUGGGCGUAAAGCGUGCGUAGGUGGUGGUUUAAGUCUGCUGUGAAAGCCCUGGGCUCAACCUGGGAAUUGCAGUGGAUACUGGAUCACUAGAGUGUGGUAGAGGGAUGCGGAAUUUCUGGUGUAGCAGUGAAAUGCGUAGAGAUCAGAAGGAACAUCCGUGGCGAAGGCGGCAUCCUGGGCCAACACUGACACUGAGGCACGAAAGCGUGGGGAGCAAACAGGAUUAGAUACCUGGUAGUCCACGCCCUAAACGAUGCGAACUGGAUGUUGGUGCAACUUGCACCAGUA